GAUGAACGCUAGCGGCAGGCUUAAUACAUGCAAGUCGAGGGGCAGCAUGACCGUAGCAAUACGGUUGAUGGCGACCGGCAAACGGGUGCGGAACACGUACACAACCUUCCUUUGAGCGGGGAAUAGCCCAGAGAAAUUUGGAUUAAUACCCCAUAGCAUAUUGAAAAGGCAUCUUUUUAAUAUUAAAGAUUUAUCGCUUAAAGUUGGGUGUGCGGCUGAUUAGGUAGUUGGCGGGGUAAUGGCCCACCAAGCCGAGGAUCAGUAACUGGUGUGAGAGCACGACCAGUCACACGGGCACUGAGACACGGGCCCGACUCCUACGGGAGGCAGCAGUAAGGAAUAUUGGUCAAUGGACGGAAGUCUGAACCAGCCAUGCCGCGUGGAGGAUGAAGGUCCUCUGGAUUGUAAACUUCUUUUAUCUGGGACGAAAAAAGGGAAUUCUUUCUCGUCUGACGGUACCAGAUGAAUAAGCACCGGCUAACUCCGUGCCAGCAGCCGCCGUAAGAC
rnacentral:rRNA from 1 species